rnacentral:rRNA from 1 species
UACAGAGGUGGCAAGCGUUGUUCGGAAUUACUGGGCGUAAAGCGCGUGUAGGCGGCUCUUCAAGUCAGGCGUGAAAGCCCCGGGCUCAACUCGGGAACUGCGCUUGAUACUGUCGAGCUAGAGUGUGGAAGGGGCGAUUGGAAUUCCGUGUGUAGCGGUGAAAUGCGUAGAUAUACGGAGGAACACCAGAGGCGAAGGCGGGUUGCUGGGCUGACACUGACGCUGAGGCGCGAAAGCUAGGGGAGCGAACGGG